rnacentral:rRNA from 1 species
GUGGGGAAUCUUGCGCAAUGGGCGAAAGCCUGACGCAGCCAUGCCGCGUGAAUGAUGAAGGUCUUAGGAUUGUAAAAUUCUUUCACCGGGGACGAUAAUGACGGUACCCGGAGAAGAAGCCCCGGCUAACUUCGUGCCAGCAGCCGCGGUAAUACGAAGGGGGCUAGCGUUGCUCGGAAUUACUGGACGUAAAGGGCGCGUAGGCGGACAGUUUAGUCAGAGGUGAAAGCCCAGGGCUCAACCUUGGAAUUGCAUUUGAUACUGGCUGUCUUGAGUUUGGGAGAGGUGAGUGGAACUCCGAGUGUAGAGGUGAAAUUCGUAGAUAUUCGGAAGAACACCAGUGGCGAAGGCGACUCACUGGCCCAAUACUGACGCUGAGGCGCGAAAGCGUGGGGAGCAAACAGGAUUAGAAACCCCUGUAGUCC